rnacentral:rRNA from 1 species
CAGUCGCCGCGGGAAUGCGAAGGGUGCAAGCGUUAAUCGGAAUUACUGGGCGUAAAGCGUGCGUAGGCGGUUUGUUGAGUCUGCUGUGAAAUCCCCGGGCUCAACCUGGGAAUGGCAGUGGAUACUGGCAAGCUAGAGUGUGUCAGAGGAUGGUGGAAUUCCCGGUGUAGCGGUGAAAUGCGUAGAGAUCGGGAGGAACAUCAGUGGCGAAGGCGGCCAUCUGGGACAACACUGACGCUGAGGCACGAAAGCGUGGGGAGCAAACAGGAUUAGAGACCCGAGUAGUCCCUGUCUCUUAUAC